rnacentral:tRNA from 1 species
GGAAUUGUGGCUCAGUGGUAGAGCGCUCGCCUAGGAUGAGCGGGACCCAGUUUGAUUCUCAGCACCA